AUUGAACGCUGGCGGAAUGCCUUACACAUGCAAGUCGAACGGCAGCACGGGAGCAAUCCUGGUGGCGAGUGGCGAACGGGUGAGUAAUACAUCGGAACGUGCCCAAUCGUGGGGGAUAACGUAGCGAAAGCUACGCUAAUACCGCAUACGAUCUACGGAUGAAAGCAGGGGAUCGCAAGACCUUGCGCGAAUGGAGCGGCCGAUGGCAGAUUAGGUAGNGGUGGGGUAAGGCUCACCAAGCCUUCGAUCUGUAGCUGGUCUGAGAGGACGACCAGCCACACUGGGACUGAGACACGGCCCAGACUCCUACGGGAGGCAGCAGUGGGAAGUUUUGGACAAUGGGCGCAAGCCUGAUCCACGCCAUUCCGCGUGCAGGAUGAA
rnacentral:rRNA from 1 species